AUUGAACGCUGGCGGCAUGCCUUACACAUGCAAGUCGAACGGCAGCAUGAUCUAGCUUGCUAGAUUGAUGGCGAGUGGCGAACGGGUGAGUAAUACAUAGGCACGUGUCCUGUAGUGGGGGAUAACUAGACGAAAGAUCAGCUAAUACCGCAUACGACCUGAGGGUGAAAGUGGGGGACCGCAAGGCCUCAUGCUUUAGGAGCGGCCGAUGUCUGAUUAGCUAGUGGGUGAGGUAAAGGCUCACCAAGGCGACGAUCAGUAGCUGGUCUGAGAGGACGAUCAGCCACACUGGGACUGAGACACGGCCCAGACUCCUACGGGAGGCAGCAGUGGGGAAUUUUGGACAAUGGGCGAAAGCCUGAUCCAGCAAUGCCGCGUGUGUGAAGAAGGCCUUCGGGUUGUAAAGCACUUUUGUCCGGAAAGAAAUGGCUCUGGUUAAUACCUGGGGUCGAUGACGGUACCGGAAGAAUAAGGACCGGCUAACUACGUG
rnacentral:rRNA from 1 species